UACGUAGGGUGCAAGCGUUGUCCGGAAUUAUUGGGCGUAAAGAGCUCGUAGGCGGUUUGUCGCGUCUGCUGUGAAAAUCCAGGGCUUAACCCUGGACCUGCAGUGGGUACGGGCAGACUAGAGUGCGGUAGGGGAGAUCGGAAUUCCUGGUGUAGCGGUGAAAUGCGCAGAUAUCAGGAGGAACACCGGUGGCGAAGGCGGAUCUCUGGGCCUGACCUGACGCUCAGGCGCGAAAGCUAGGGGAGCGAACUGG
rnacentral:rRNA from 1 species